rnacentral:rRNA from 1 species
AACGAACGCUGGCGGCAGGCCUAACACAUGCAAGUCGAGCGAGGACUUCGGUCCUAGCGGCGGACGGGUGAGUAACGCGUGGGAACGUGCCCUUUGCUUCGGAAUAGCCCUGGGAAACUGGGAGUAAUACCGGAUGAGCCCUUUGGGGGAAAGAUUUAUCGGCGAAGGAUCGGCCCGCGUUGGAUUAGGUAGUUGGUGGGGUAAUGGCCUACCAAGCCGACGAUCCAUAGCUGGUGUGAGAGGAUGAUCAGCCACACUGGGACUGAGACACGGCCCAGACUCCUACGGGAGGCAGCAGUGGGGAAUCUUAGACAAUGGGGGAAACCCUGAUCUAGCCAUGCCGCGUGAGCGAUGAAGGCCUUAGGGUUGUAAAGCUCUUUCAGCUGGGAAGAUAAUGACGGUACCAGCAGAAGAAGCCCCGGCUAACUCCGUG